GACGAACGCUGGCGGCGUGCCUAAUACAUGCAAGUCGAACGCAGUGGGGACGGGUGAGUAACACGUGGGUAACCUCCCAUCAGAGGGGAUAACACUUGGAAACAGGUGCUAAACCGAUACUGAUGGAUGGACCAGCGGUGCAUUAGCUAGUGGGGGAGGUAACGGCUCACCAAGGCCACGAUGCAUAGCUGGCCUGAGAGGGUGAUCGGCCACACUGGAACUGAGACACGGCCCAGACUCCUACGGGAGGCAGCAGUGGGGAAUCUUGGGCAAUGGACGAAAGUCUGACCGAGCAAUGCCGCGUGAGUGAAGAAGGUUUUCGGAUCGUAAAGCACUGUUGUUCGAGAAGCGGUAUCUAACCAGAAAGCAACGGCUAACUACGUGCCAGCAGCCGCGGUAAUUC
rnacentral:rRNA from 1 species